rnacentral:misc_RNA from 1 species
AACUUUCAGCAACGCAUCACUUGGUUCUGGCAUCGAUGAAGAACGCAGCGAAAUGCGAUAAGUAAUGCGAAUUGCAGAAUCCGUGAGUCAUCGAAUCUUUGAACGCACAUUGCGCCCUUUGGUAUUCCGAAGGGCAUGCCUGUUCGAGCGUCAUUAUCACCCCUCAAGCUCGGCUUGUUGUUGGACCAAGUCCCGUCAUACGGACCGGUCCCAAAGAUAAUGACGGCGGCUGUUGGACCCUCGUACACUGAGCUCUCGGGCACAUACGUGGCAGGACUACAGUCACCGUUUAACCCACAGUGCUUCGGCACUCUUUCUAAGGUUGACCUCGGAUCAGGUAGGAAUACCCGCUGAACUUAAGCAUAUCAAUAAGCGGAGGCU